rnacentral:rRNA from 1 species
AGCAGCCGCGGUAAUUCCAGCUCCAAUAGCGUAUAUUAAAGUUGUUGCAGUUAAAAAGCUCGUAGUUGAAUUUCGGGGUUAGUAGGUUGGUCAUGCCUCUGGUAUGUACUGGUCUCACUGAUUCCUCCUUCCUGAUGAACCUUAAUGCCAUUAAUUUGGUGUUUUGGGGAAUUUGGACUGUUACUUUGAAAAAAUUAGAGUGUUUAAAGCAAGCUAACGCUUGAAUACAUUAGCAUGGAAUAAUGAAAUAGGACGUUCGAUCCUAUUUUGUUGGUUUCUAGGAUUGACGUAAUGAUUAAUAGGGAUAGUUGGGGGCAUUAGUAUUCAAUUGUCAGAGGUGAAAUUCUUGGAUUUAUUGAAGACUAACUACUGCGAAAGCAUUUGCCAAGGAUGUUUUCAUUAAUCAAGAACGAAAGUUAGGGGGUCGAAGACGAUCAGAUACCGUCGUAGUCUUAACCAUAAACUAUGCCGACUAGGGAUCGGAUGAUGUUAAUUUUUUAAUGACUCA